GUGAGUAACGCGUAGGAAUAUGCCUUGAAGAGGGGGACAACUUGGGGAAACUCAAGCUAAUACCGCAUAAUGUCUGAGGACGAAAGCUGGGGACCUUCGGGCCUGGCGCUUUAAGAUUAGCCUGCGUCCGAUUAGCUAGUUGGUGGGGUAAGGGCCUACCAAGGCGACGAUCGGUAGCUGGUCUGAGAGGAUGACCAGCCACACUGGAACUGAGACACGGUCCAGACUCCUACGGGAGGCAGCAGUGGGGAAUAUUGGACAAUGGGGGCAACCCUGAUCCAGCAAUGCCGCGUGUGUGAAGAAGGCCUGAGGGUUGUAAAGCACUUUCAGUGGGGAGG
rnacentral:rRNA from 1 species